rnacentral:rRNA from 1 species
AGUCGAGCGAACAGACGAGAGCUUGCUCCUCUGACGUUAGCGGCGGACGGGUGAGUAACACGUGGAUAACCUACCUAUAAGACUGGGAUAACUUCGGGAAACCGGAGCUAAUACCGGAUAAUAUAUUGAACCGCAUGGUUCAAUAGUGAAAGACGGUUUUGCUGUCACUUAUAGAUGGAUCCGCGCCGCAUUAGCUAGUUGGUAAGGUAACGGCUUACCAAGGCAACGAUGCGUAGCCGACCUGAGAGGGUGAUCGGCCACACUGGAACUGAGACACGGUCCAGACUCCUACGGGAGGCAGCAGUAGGGAAUCUUCCGCAAUGGGCGAAAGCCUGACGGAGCAACGCCGCGUGAGUGAUGAAGGUCUUCGGAUCGUAAAACUCUGUUAUUAGGGAAGAACAAAUGUGUAAGUAACUAUGCACGUCUUGACGGUACCUAAUCAGAAAGCCACGGCUAACUACGUGCCAGCAGCCGCGGUAAUACGUAGGUGGCAAGCGUUAUCCGGAAUUAUUGGGCGUAAAGCGCGCGUAGGCGGUUUUUUAAGUCUGAUGUGAAAGCCCACGGCUCAACCGUGGAGGGUCAUUGGAAACUGGAAAACUUGAGUGCAGAAGAGGAAAGUGGAAUUCCAUGUGUAGCGGUGAAAUGCGCAGAGAUAUGGAGGAACACCAGUGGCGAAGGCGACUUUCUGGUCUGUAACUGACGCUGAUGUGCGAAAGCGUGGGGAUCAAACAGGAUUA